AAAUUGAAGAGUUUGAUCAUGGCUCAGAUUGAACGCUGGCGGCAGGCCUAACACAUGCAAGUCGAACGGUAACAGGAAGCAGCUUGCUGCUUUGCUGAUGAGUGGCGGACGGGUGAGUAAUGUCUGGGAAACUGCCUGAUGGAGGGGGAUAACUACUGGAAACGGUGGCUAAUACCGCAUAACGUCGCAAGACCAAAGAGGGGGACCUUCGGGCCUCUUGCCAUCAGAUGUGCCCAGAUGGGAUUAGCUUGUUGGUGAGGUAACGGCUCACCAAGGCGACGAUCCCUAGCUGGUCUGAGAGGAUGACCAGCCACACUGGAACUGAGACACGGUCCAGACUCCUACGGGAGGCAGCAGUGGGGAAUAUUGCACAAUGGGCGCAAGCCUGAUGCAGCCAUGCCGCGUGUAUGAAGAAGGCCUUCGGGUUGUAAAGUACUUUCAGCGGGGAGGAAGGUGUUGUGGUUAAUAACCACAGCAAUUGACGUUACCCGCAGAAGAAGCACCGG
rnacentral:rRNA from 1 species